UUCCCACUAUCUAAAUAAGAAGUUGCCUCCAUUUAUUUCAGCACUUGCCUUUUAAAUGGAAAGUGCCAAAUACUGUUAUAACAGUUUAAAAUAUAUCACAGCAGGCUCACUUCAGUUAGUUCCAGGGAUGCACACUGCUUCUCCCACUGUGCCAGCAGCGGCACUCCAUCUGUGGGAGGAAAGAGCCCGCUCGUCCCCAGCCAUGGCAAUGGGAAGCCAAGACACCGGUGAGCUGGAGGAGACACUCCUUGGGGAGGGAAGGCUACCACUCGCCCUCCAUCUGAACCUCAGUGAACAAUGGCAAUUGCCUAAAACGACAGCAAGUUUUGCUGCUCUUUUCUGGAAAUACAAAGUUAGGCUUUUGAAUGAAAUUACAGAAACGCUUCUGAAGCGGAGGGGUGCUACACUGCUUGCACAGAGUGUCACUACCGUAGUAGUGCCCCCCGUCCACGAUGGAAUCCGGUUCUUCCCCACAGCAGACAUUCCUCACACUGGUAUGGAGCACAGCUGGAGAGGAGAUAUCUUCUACAGAAUAAAGAGAAAUAGUUGCCCAGCUCUAACCCUGAGACCUGCACCAGUUGUGCCCUGUUGGCUGUAUCUCCGGAAAGCAAGGUUCUGAGGAGCAACCAGCUUGUCUUUCAUCAAGGACUUAAUAACCAGAUGAAGGUUCUCUUUUCAUCAGUUCAUAAGUGAUGCUCCAUUUGAUUGAAGAAGAUCAAAAAUGACGAUCAGAAAAUAACAAGGAAGUUUUAAAGGUGGCCUUUAUACAACACUUCAACUGUUUCAUUCCUGUUAUUUCAGAAGUAUCACUGGGUUUCUUCUCAGGUUUGGAAAAAAAAUGUAUAAAAUUCUCAAGAAUUGACAGUACUUGCCUUUUUUUUUUUUAAUUUUAGAAGCUUAUAUGUUAAUGGUGGUCAACAUGCCUCUUCCGCACUGUGCCGUGGUGUUAAGUGAAAGCAACAGCAGCAAAACUAUUAG
ensembl:lncRNA